AAACACUUUGAGUUGAGCUCUUAUAUCGUUGGUGAGCAGGCUCGUUUACGAGAAGCCUAAAAAUGAUAAUGUUCGACUCCCUUGAACCGUCUGGUUCAAGGACCACCACCGAUAACGGCACUUCGGGUCUUUU
rnacentral:sRNA from 1 species